GCCAGGAGUCUCUCUCAUUAGAAUACCUGGGGUCAAUAUCGAAGGAAGCUCUUUAGACAGGGUUAUGAUACCAGAUGCAAAUUUUACACAAGAAAUAAUCAACAUAGAAGGCUAAAAUGAAGUCACUUUUGAUAAAACUACAUCUACUUUAACAUUCCAAUAUCACAUCUGACUCUAAAUGGAAUCUUUACACCACCACCACCACCACUCGCUGGCCAGGAUUUGCUUACGUAUGAGAAGGGACAUGGAGGAAGCUGGAAGCCAUCAUUCUCAGCAAACUAUCGCAAGGACAAAAAACCAAACACCGCAUGUUCUCACUCAUAGGUGGGAACUGAACAAUGAGAACACAUGAACACAGGAAGGAGAACAUCACACA